rnacentral:tRNA from 1 species
GGGUCGUUAGCUCAGUCGGUAGAGCAGCGGACUUUUAAUCCGUUGGUCGCAGGUUCGACUCCUGCACGACCUACCA